AUGAAGUUCCGCCGUCCACUAGCCGUCAGCUUCAAGGAGAGCAAUCUCAGCCCCUUGAUCUCACUGUAAAACAUCCACCGCUGCCGUCUGCCCCUGGCGACUACAAACCCCAAUCGCAGCCCCUCGACCUCUGUGUGAAACAUCCACCGCAACCUUCCGUUUCGUCUUCCCAUGCAAAGCCUAAGCGAAAGCGUGCUGCUCCGUGUG